rnacentral:rRNA from 1 species
CUGCUGCCUUCCGUAGGAGUCUGGUCCGUGUCUCAGUACCAGUGUGGGGGGCCUUCCUCUCAGAACCCCUACGCAUCGUCGUCUUGGUGGUCCGUUACACCGCCAACUAACUAAUGCGACGCAUGCCCAUCCGCCACCGGAAUUAACCUUUGGCACCAACAGGAUGUCCCGUCGAUGCAUUAUGCCGUAUUAGACGGAAUUUCUCCCGAUUAUCCGGCUGUGGCAGGCAGGUUGCAUACGUGUUACUCA